GUGUGUGUCUACAUCCUUCUAAGUGGAGAUCCAUGUCUCUCUCCCCACUCCACCUGUCCUGUUCCACCAUUCGCUAGCUGGCCAUCCACUUGGAGUCAGCAGUGCUUCCUGUGGUGAGUGUGCCCUGGAGUUUGCCACUGCUUUGGUCCUGACCACAGCUUUCUCAGGCCACGCAGGGCUAGGUUGUCUAGGUGGCAGUGUUUUGUAUC
rnacentral:lncRNA from 1 species